UACGAGGGGUGCAAGCGUUGCUCGGAAUUAUUGGGCGUAAAGGGUAGGUAGGUGGUCUCAUUUGUCUGGGGUGAAAGCCUUGAGCUUAACUCAAGAAGUGCCCCGGAAACGGUGAGACGGGAGUCUUGGAGAGGGUCGUGGAAUUCCCGGUGUAGCGGUGAAAUGCGUAGAGAUCGGGAGGAACACCAGAGGCGAAGGCGGCGACCUGGACAAGUACUGACACUCAACUACGAAAGCGUGGGGAGCAAACAGG
rnacentral:rRNA from 1 species